rnacentral:rRNA from 1 species
UGGGGAAUUUUCCGCAAUGGGCGAAAGCCUGACGGAGCAAUACCGCGUGAGGGAAGACUGCCCAUGGGUUGUAAACCUCUUUUUUCAGGGAGGAAAAAAAUGACGUGUACCUGAAGAAUAAGCAUCGGCUAACUCCGUGCCAGCAGCCGCGGUAAGACGGAGGAUGCAAGUGUUAUCCGGAAUCACUGGGCGUAAAGCGUCUGUAGGUGGUUUAACAAGUCGGAUGUUAAAUCUUGAAGCUUAACUUCAAAACCGCAUUCGAAACUGUUAAACUUGAGUAUGGUAGAGGUAAAGGGAAUUUCCAGUGGAGCGGUGAAAUGCGUAGAUAUUGGAAAGAACACCGGUGGCGA